rnacentral:rRNA from 1 species
UCGAGGAUCUUCGGCAAUGGGCGCAAGCCUGACCGAGCGACGCCGCGUGCGGGAUGAAGGCCUUCGGGUUGUAAACCGCUGUCAGUGGGGAGGAAAUGCAUGGGGGUUCUCCCCCAUGUUUGACCUAUCCGCAGAGGAAGUGUGGGCUAAGUUCGUGCCAGCAGCCGCGGUAAGACGAACCACACAAACGUUAUUCGGAAUUACUGGGCUUAAAGGGUGCGUAGGCUGCGCAGCAAGUUGGGUGUGAAAUCCCUCGGCUCAACCGAGGAACUGCGCCCAAAACUGCUGUGCUUGAGGGAGACAGAGGUGAGCGGAACUUAGGGUGGAGCGGUGAAAUGCGUUGAUAUCCUAAGGAACACCCGUGGCGAAAGCGGCUCACUGGGUCUCUUCUGACGCUGAGGCACGAAAGCUAGGGUAGCGAACGGGAUUAGAUACCCGGGUAGUCC